CUGUCCUGGCCUGAGCGUUUCCUGCCUGCCAUGGGCUUGGACAGCAGAGUGAGCGGGCGGGACGCACAGCAAUCACCCUCUCUGUUUAGGAGGGCCAGCCUGAGCAUAGCACUGCCUGUGAGAAGCAGGAGAGAAGUUU
ensembl:snoRNA